AUAAUGCAGUCGAACGAGAAAGUUCCUUCGGGGACAAGUAAAGUGGCGAACGGGUGAGUAACGCGUAGAUAACAUGCCUUCAGGUGGGGGAUAGCUAACCGAAAGGUUGGAUAAUACCGCAUAAGACCACAGUAUCUGAGGAUACAGGGGUCAAAGAUUUAUCGCCUGAAGAUUGGUCUGCGUCCGAUUAGCUUGUUGGUAGGGUAAAAGCCUACCAAGGCUGUGAUCGGUAGCUGGUCUGAGAGGAUGAUCAGCCACACUGGGACUGAGACACGGCCCAGACUCCUACGGGAGGCAGCAGUAGGGAAUCUUGCACAAUGGGGGAAACCCUGAUGCAGCAACACCACAUGAGUGAUGAAGGCCUUAGGGUUGUAAAGCUCUGUUCUUGGCGAACAAAAAAAUGAUUAGCCAAGGAGAAAGGACCGGCUAACUUCGUGCCAGCAGCUGCGGUAAGACGAGGGGUCCAAGCGUUGUCCGGAAUUAUUGGGCGUAAAGCGGGUGUAGGCGGUUUUACAAGUCAGAAGUGAAAGCCUCAGGCUCAACCUGAGAAGUGCUUUUGAUACUGUUGAACUUGAGUUUGGAAGAGGGCAAUGGAAUUCCUGGUGUAGUGGUGAAAUGCGUAGAUAUCAGGAGGAAUACCAGAUGCGAAGGCGGUUGCCUGGUCCGACACUGACGCUAAGAUCCGAAAGCGUGGGGAGCAAACAGGAUUAGAUGCCCUGGUAGUCCACGCUGUAAACAAUGGACACUUGGUGUUGAUGGAUUUGACCCCAUCAGUGCCGGAGCUAACGCGUUAAGUGUCCCGCCUGGGGAGUACGGUCGCAAGAUUAAAACUCAAAGAAAUUGACGGGGGCCCGCACAAGCGGUGGAGCAUGUGGUUUAAUUCGAUGAUACGCGAAAAACCUUACCUGGGUUUGACAUCUAGAGGAAGAUUCUUGGAAACAAGGUCGCCUUCGGGCCUCUAGACAGGUGUUGC
rnacentral:rRNA from 1 species